rnacentral:snoRNA from 1 species
ACUGCCCUUAAAGACAUUGCAGGUGUGGCUGCUGUGUCACAUGUGUGUCAGUAGGUGGCAGAGAGGAAAGAUGCUAUGUCUUAUCUAUUCUCAGUGUUCUGACUUGUGACCAUCAGAAUAAUUAGUAGCCUAAGACU